GACGAACGCUGGCGGCGUGCUUAACACAUGCAAGUCGAACGGAAAGGCCCUGCUUUUGUGGGGUGCUCGAGUGGCGAACGGGUGAGUAACACGUGUGUAACCUGCCCCUGACUUUGGGAUAACUUCAGGAAACUGGGGCUAAUACCGGAUAGGAUCUCCUGCUGCACGGUGGGGGUUGGAAAGUUUCGGCGGUUGGGGCUGGACUCGCGGCUUAUCAGCUUGUUGGUGGGGUAGUGGCUUACCAAGGCUUUGACGGGUAGCCGGCCUGAGAGGGUGACCGGCCACAAUAGUACUGAGAUACGGCGCAGACUCCUACGGGAGGCAACGGUGGAGAGUAUUACACAAUGGGCGGAAGCCUGAGACAGCAGCGCCGCGUGCGGGAAGACGGCCUUCGGGUUGUAAACCGCUUUCGCCGGUGACGAGGCGUGAGUGACGGUAAUGGGUAAAGAAGCACCGGCUAACUACGUG
rnacentral:rRNA from 1 species